rnacentral:rRNA from 1 species
CCCUUAGACGUUCUAGGCCGCACGCGCGCUACACUGACCAGUGCAACAAGCAUCCGUCCUUGGCCGACAGGCCCGGGCAAUCUUUGAACGCUGGUCGUGAUGGGGAUAGACUUUUGCAAUUUUUGGUCUUCAACGAGGAAUUCCUAGUAAACGCAAGUCAUCAACUUGCAUUGAUUACGUCCCUGCCCUUUGUACACACCGCCCGUCGCACCUACCGAUUGAAUGGUCCGGUGAAGCCUCCGGAUUGGCGCGCACCUCGGUGCCGCCGAGAAGUUGGCUAAACCUUACCAUUUAGAGGAAGGUGAANUCGUAACA